UGUAUUUGCACAAAGGCUUGAAAUUAUGUACAUCACUUAACAAUUUUUCAAGCGGCGGCGGGCGGGAAGAAAGAUCAUAAUCAUUGACUUCACUCAACUCACUUGCAAGCACUAAUCUGUCAAUUAAAACCUUUGACAAUCGAAAAUCAGGUGUUUCAUGUCUGCGUUGCUACAUCCACAGUGCGAACAUUCACUAUUUCGAAUAAUGCCAAGUCUUGCUAGGUGUGACGGUGCAGUAUUAUGGCCAAAACGCAAUCUAUUAAUGGUGGUAUAUUGUUUUUCUACUUCCAGGAAAAUAUUGUACAAAUUUGGGGGAUAUCCAUUCAACAGUGCAAAUCCUGUGGUUAAAGGCCCAGAAACAUUAAUACGGUCUGUAAUCAGUGAUAUGAAACUGUCAAUGCAACUACACCCACGACGGAAGCCAUAUUGUACAUUGGGAAUGAUACCAUUAGCGUCAACAAACCAAUCAAGACGAGCUUUAAUCAUGUUUUUAAACAGUUUGCCAAAACAUGAGGAUAAAGAAAUUGGACAGUAGGAGCUAGCUAAAUCAGGAGAUUUAUCUGGCUUAAGUAUGGGAAUAACACAUUGUGUUUUCCAUGAGUUGGGUAUUAAUUUCUUGUCCCAUAAAGCAUUAAGAAUAUUUAAAAACACUGCCUGCACUGAUUCAUGUAGUUUUUUAAUCAAAAUAUAUGGGUAAUCAUCUAAGCCGGGAGUAGAAUUGCGCCUAGAUCUCAAACUCAUUGUAAAUUCGGUCCAUGUAAAGUUAUCUAAUAAAUUUUUUGAAUUUC